AUUGAACGCUGGCGGCAGGCCUAACACAUGCAAGUCGAACGAGUGGCGGACGGGUGAGUAAUGUAUGGGAAACUGCCUGAUGGAGGGGGAUAACUACUGGAAACGGUAGCUAAUACCGCAUAACAUCGGCUGCGCCCAUAUGGGAUGAGCUAGUAGGAUGGGUAAAGGCACACCUAGGCGACGUUACCUAGCUGGUCUGAGAGGAUGAACAGCCACACGUGAACUUAGACACGGCCCAGACUCCUACGGUAGGCAGCAGGGGGGAAUAUUGCACAAUGGGCUCAAGCCUGAUGCAGCCAUUCCGCGUGUAUGAAGAAGGCCUUCGGGUUGUAAAGUACUUUCAGCGGGGCGGCGUUACCCGCAGAGGAAGCACCGGCUAACUCCGUGCCAGCAGCCGCGGUAAUUC
rnacentral:rRNA from 1 species